GGGCGGUUAGCUCAGUGGGAGAGCGCUUCCCUGACACGGAAGAGGUCACUGGUUCAAUCCCAGUAUCGCCCA
rnacentral:tRNA from 1 species